CUAUAAUUGUUAGAGAAAGAAAGUGACAACCAGACAAGAAAUAGCUCUUCUGGCUAGAGGUAUCAAGUCUAUUGUCCAAAGGUAGAAACAAUGGAGACAUUGAUUUAUGCUUUAUUCGUAUUCUUGUGGCUGCAUCUGACCUGUGUCAGCCAAGGAGAGAAGGUGGAGCAGCACCCUUCUACCCUGAGUGUCCAGGAGGGAGACAGUGCUGUUAUCAACUGUACUUAUUCAGAGAGUGGUUCAUCUUACUUCCCUUGGUAUAAGCAAGAAGAUGGAAAAGGUCCCCAGAUGAUUAUAGACAUUCUUUCAAAUAAGGAGAUAAAUCAAAUCCAAAGAUUCAUUGUUGUGUUGGAUAAGAGAGCCAAACCCUUCUCCCUAAACAUCAGAGCCACCCAACCUGGAGACUCAGCUGUCUAAUUCUGUGCAGUUGAUGCACAAUGCUUCCCAAACACCUCCAGCCUGUACUCAAACCUACCACUGGGCUGAGCCCUACCUGCUUCCUUUUUUUGCAAAGACCUUCCAGUAUUGCAUUUUCUAUAUUGUUAUUUUGCAAGUGGAAACUAGCAUAUAGGCAUUCAAAGUAUAUAAUACAUACAGUGGGUUCAAGAUGACCCAGAGAGGGUCAGAACAUUUUGUUAGCUGAUAGUUCUUAACAGAUUAUUUUUUUCUAUUUUUAUUUUACGUAUUUAAAGUACAUAACAUGAUGGUUUGAUAUACAAAAAACAUAGUGAAAAUGAACAGCUAGAUGAAGUGAUGUGAGAUAAAGAGGGCAAGGUGUGGCACAGAACUUCAUGCCCACUCUGGGCUCCUCACACCCAGGCGCCCUCACAACUUCAGCAAUCCUAAACCUGCACAUAAUGGAUUCUUCCAGGGAACAAAUGAUGUUUUGUUUUGCAAUCUAGUUUUUAAAGAUAACAUUUGCUAUUUUGACUUCUCUCCUAUAAAUAUCACUUACUAACCAGUAUCACAAUCCUUGUCAGAUAUGGGCUACUGGUGCUUUAGAAAAUUAUACUUGUUAUUUUUCUUAUUAUAAAA